rnacentral:lncRNA from 1 species
AUGCUCACCGAACGAAAAUAUACACAAUAAUAUGUUGGUAUGGUCUGAAAUGUCAACGCAUUAAGAAAAACUCGAGAGGUUGUCACUUUCUGUGCAGGCUUUUGAAAUAUGCAAAGGAUGGAAAACUAUAUGAAGGCACUAGCACAUGGUUCAGAUAUAUUCACCUUCUGCAAUCAUGGCUGUUUAGCCCAGCGGGUAGGAAACUCAGCUUCUGAGCAUGGGGUUGUACGUUUGAAACUCACCACCACCAACGUUUUUCCUUUAAAAUUUAUUUUGUUUUAUACAUUAAUUUCCUUAUAGCGAUUUGUCUUACGUGGCGGACAGAAGGAGAGG